rnacentral:rRNA from 1 species
GGGUGCGUUCAUACAAACACUAAUGCACUGGAUCCCAUUAGAACUCCAUAGUGAAGCUUGCUUGCAUGAGAGUAGUACUAGGAUGGGUGACCUCUUGGGAAGUCCUCAUGUUACACCCC